GGGAGUCAGAAGCCACAAGGAGAACUACAAGAUCUCAGCAAAAUAACUCGGACACACAGCAAGAGAGACUGGUGUCUGAGGGUGCUGAAGUUCCUGCUGAAGAUGGCCCUUUUGACAUUGAUUGGACUUUUGACAUUCUGGUGGACAACAGACCUAAAGAACUUGGACUGGUGAUCUGGACCAAAUACAGUUUUUGCAAACGUCUGUACUGUAUUGUCAAUAUGCCUAUGCCUGAAAAUAAUUACAUAAUAAAGUAGCAGCAGCUAAGUAGAAAAUGCUUACUUGUAAGGAAAAUACUCUCUCCUUAUACUGUAGUUGCUGUCACUUUUAUUUUCAUAAUGUCUUCAUCUGUUUUGAUGGAUAAUAAAAAGGGGUCUAUUUAUAUUCCUAUUUAACUUUAA